rnacentral:rRNA from 1 species
GACGAACGCUGGCGGCGUGCUUAAUACAUGCAAGUCGAACGGAAAGGCCCUGCUUUUGUUGGGUGCUCGAUAGGCGAACGGGUGAGUAACACGUGAGUAACCUGCCCUUGACUGUCGGAUAACUUCAGGGAACUGGGGCUAAUACCGGAUAGGAGCUCCUGCUGCAUGGUGGGGGAUGGUAAGUGUCGGCGGUUGGGGAUGGAAUCGCGGCUUAUGAGCUUGUUGGUGGAGUAGUGGCUUACCAAGGCUUUGACGGGUAGCCGGCCUGAGAGGGGGACCGGGCACAAUGGGCCUGCGGUACGGCGCAGACUGCUACGGGAGGCAGCGGUGGGGAGUCUUGCGCAAUGGGCCGAAGCCUGAUGCAGCAACGCCGCGUGCGGGAUGACGGCUUUCGGGUUGUAAACCGCUUUCGACUGUGACGAAGACUGAGUGACGGUACUGGGUAAAAAAGCACCGGCUAACUACGUG